AAACAGCUAAGGUAAAAGCGCCAUGUGUCAUUUAAGAGAAAGAACUAAAACAAACAAAAGGGGGCAGUCCUUUCUCCACAUAGAACCAGCCAAGCAAGAGAGCUGUGCUGCGCUGUGUCUGCCUGACAGUACCCGCUGUGGUCAGCAGUGAGGUGUCCAUCUGCAUGGGCUGUGAGGCUCACAGACUGAGAAUUCAGCUGUGCUCAUGAAUUCUUUCCUCGUCUCUGCUUCAGGUCCUGCCUCCAGGUUCCUGUCCUAAGUCCUGACUUCAUUCCUCAACGGUGGACUGUGAGGUAGAGGUAGCAUCUGAAAUAAUCUUUCUUAACCAAAGUGGUUUUUGUCAGUGUUUCAUUACAGCAACCAAAACAAUCCAAACAGGGGUCUCAUAACAACAACAGCAACAACAACAACAACAACAACAACAACAACAACAGCAACAACAGCAACAACAACACUUCUGACAGAAAAGUGGUCUUUCAUCUGCAAGGACCCACCAAGGACUUGGUUCAAUUCAUGAGACUGGCAGAUCUUUCUACCUGUGGAAACUGAUAUAUAAUCCACCCAACCAUAGAGACCAUGUCAUCCUGAAAAGGAAGAAAUAAUGAUUCUAUGCAUGAUAUCUUCUACUUCAAGAGUUCCUCCACAACAGAGCUGCAGCCUUCCCAAGGCUCAACCAUGCUCCUGGCGCUCUUCCCAGUGCUGGGGAUAAACUUCCUCCUGAGAGAUGCCGAAGCUCAGUCAGUGACUCAACCUGACGUUCAUGUCACUGUCUCUGAAGAAUCCUCUCUGUGGCUGAGAUGCACCUAUUCCUCCUCUGUGUCACCUUACCUAUUCUGGUAUGUCCAGUACCCACAGCAGGGGCUGCAGCUGCUCCUCAAGUACUAUUCAGGAGACUCCGUGGUUCAAGGAGAGAAUGGCUUUGAGGCUGAGUUCAGCAAGAGCAACUCUUCCUUCCACCUGCGGAAAGCCUCUGUGCACUGGAGCGACUCGGCUGUGUACUUCUGUGCUCUGAGCGCACAGCGUCUGGGGCUAUAGGGGGAGCUAAACACAAACAUCCAUGGCUGUGGGUGCUCAGACACAAGAUCUCUCCUUGUGGUCUCUGAAGCAUCUCUUUGGACUUGGAGAGGAAAGAAGGAAAGUUGCGCUGUCCCAGCUGUCUUUCUGCAACUCAUUUCCAGCUAAACCAUCCGAGAAAGAGCUCAUUCUGUGGAUUGGAGGCGACUGUGUUGUUAUCCUGAAUGUUAUUUCCUGAGUGGACAUUGCUUGGAUAGUGACUAGACUAAGCCUAUGAUAGGAAAAACCAGAAGUUGGACUUUGAUUUUCUCACUUUAUCAUUUCAACAGAAAGUGAAAGGUGUACUCUACAGCUUUUGUCUUGGAAUUUUCUUCCUCUUCUCAAUCUUUUAUGCUAAUCUCCCUAUAAAUUAUUUUCCUACUAAAUAUACUCAUCAGAAUUGGUCAUAUUAUUUAAGUACUGUCGUCUUGGAAAUAAUUUGAUGCCUUGGUAGUCAAUAUAGGAUUUCAUCAGUGAUACAAAAGUUUUGAAAUCUGUCAUAAUUAUGUAAGUUCUACCCACCAUUAAAAAGAAAACAGGGGAAUAAGGAAUUCGAGCUCAUAGGUAUUUCUUUUCCAAAGAUUCAUCACAGUUGUAAGUGUACUAUCUUGUUUUUGUGGUCUUCUUCAAAUCUUUUCAUCUCCUUGAGACUCCGUGGUCUGAGUCCUUCUGCAUCUUUUAUAACUGCUCAUUGCUUUCAC